rnacentral:rRNA from 1 species
AUUGAACGCUGGCGGAAUGCUUUACACAUGCAAGUCGAGCGGCAGCGCGGGGCAACCUGGCGGCGAGCGGCGAACGGGUGAGUAACGGAUCGGAACGUAUCCUCGAGUGGGGGAUAGCCCGGCGAAAGCCGGAUUAAUACCGCAUACGAUCCCCGGAUCAAAAUCCGGGGAUGAAAGUGGGGACCGCAAGGCCUCACGCUCGAGGAGCGGCCGAUCUCUGAUUAGCUAGUUGGCGGGUAAGAGCCACCAAGGCGAUGAUCAGUAGCUGGUCUGAGAGGAUGAUCAGCCACACUGGGACUGAGACACGGCCAGACUCCUACGGAGGCAGCAGUGGGAAUUUUGGACAAU